UGUAAGCGUAUACCAAAGUUGUUGCAGUUAAAACGCUCGUAGUCGGAAUUUGGCAGUUCCGGAUGUGUGCACGUCGUGUGCGCACUUCGCGGGGAUUGCUUUUGUGGUCUUGCGUAGGAUGAGGCACUUUUAUUAGUGAACGUCCUCACGCAACCACUUUUUACUGUGAGAAAAUCAGAGUGCUCAAAGCAGGCAUUUGCCGUGAAUGUAUUAGCAUGGAAUAAUAGAAUAGGACUUGGUUCUAUUUUGUUGGUUUGUUGGGACUGAGUAAUGAUUAAGAGGGACAGUUGGGGGCAUUUGUAUUUCGGUGCUAGAGGUGAAAUUCUUAGAUUACCGAAAGACAAACUGCUGCAAAAGCGUCUGCCAAGGAUGUUUUCAUUGA
rnacentral:rRNA from 1 species